rnacentral:lncRNA from 10 species
UCAAGUUGCCUGUGGACUUCCACUCAGACUCUCAGAGCCCUGCUGGAGGAUGGAGAGACCACAUGGAACAGAGAAGGGUUAUCCCACCGAGGCCACCAUAGACCAGCCAGCCCUCAGCGUACAUGCCAGCUAAUUACAGAUGCAGGAGCAAACCCCUGGCCCAUACAUCAGAUUUUGGAAGCAUUGCCUUCUACAGAAUCCACAGUAGUCCGAAGCUCUUCUACGGUUUUUGUCAAACUUUGAUUUUCCAUCUCUAGCUUCAAUAAUCUACUUGAUGUCAACUCAUUCACCUCAUGGCCCAGGGAUUUCUGGGGUGCUAUAAUAUUGAAAAAUACACCAUUGUAUUUACUCUUUACUGUUUUUACUAUGUUUACUCUUUACUAUUUAAAAAGUUGAGUGUAUAUGCAUUGCAUCAUCUGAUCCUUAACUUUAUUAAAAAUUCAAUGAGGUUAUAUAAGAUAAACAAGAUAAAAGAAGUAAAUCUUUUUUUUCCUUUUCUUUUUUUCUUUUUUUUAAAGAGACGGGGUCUCUCUCUGUCACCCAGGCUGGAGUGCAGUGAUGUGCUCCUAGCUCACUGCAGCCUCAAACGCCUGGUCUGAAGGGAUCCUCCCACCUCAGUCUCCCAAGCGGCCGGGACUGCAGGUACAGCCAGCUAAUUUUUUUAUUUUUUAGUAAAGACUGGGUCUCUGUUACUUAGGCUGGUCUCGAACUCCUGAGCUCAAGCAAUCCUCCUGCCUUGGCCUCCCAAAGUGCUGGGAUUACAGGCAUGAGCCGCUGCACCCAGCUAAGAGAUACAUGUUUAACUUUUAAUGCAUCCACAGCAUUCUAGUUAAAAAAAGCAUAAAAUUUAGAUUGAAGAAAUUGGAGUUCAAGCAGACCCAUUAAAUAUUUUGCUGAUAUAAGAACAUUAGGAUUUACAAAUGAAAUAUGAGACCUACUAUUUCAAGAAAGGAAAUGAAUAAAGGUACUGGAGAGAAU